UACGAAGGGCGCAAGCGUUACUCGGAAUUACUGGGCGUAAAGAGUGCGUAGGUGGUUGUUUAAGUCUGUUGUGAAAGCCCUGGGCUCAACCUGGGAACUGCAGUGGAAACUGGACAACUAGAGUGUGGUAGAGGGUAGCGGAAUUCCCGGUGUAGCAGUGAAAUGCGUAGAGAUCGGGAGGAACAUCCAUGGCGAAGGCAGCUACCUGGACCAACACUGACACUGAGGCACGAAAGCGUGGGGAGCAAACAGG
rnacentral:rRNA from 1 species